rnacentral:rRNA from 1 species
CAAAAUAGAAAUAUGACGUAUAGGGUCUGACACCUGCCCGGUGCUGGAAGGUUAAGGAAGGAGCUUAGAGGUAACUCGAAGGUUUUGACUGAAGCCCCAGUAAACGGCGGCCGUAACUAUAACGGUCCUAAGGUAGCGAAAUUCCUUGUCGGGUAAGUUCCGACCUGCACGAAUGGUGUAACGAUCUGGGCACUGUCUCAACCAUGAUCUCGGUGAAAUUGUAGUAUCGGUGAAGAUGCCGGUUAAUCGCAACGGGACGAAAAGACCCUGUGAACCUUUACUAUAGCUUUGUAUUGACUUCGGGUAAAUAAUGUGUAGGAUAGGUGGGAGACUAUGAAGCAGUAUCGCUAGGUAUUGUGGAGUCAUUGUUGAAAUAC